CGGCGGAGGGCGGCGGGGGAGCCGGCGCCUCGGGGCGCGGGAGCGACGCCCCAGGAAGCCUGGAAAGGUGAGGACCCGAGCAGGACCCCAUCACCUGGCUGCGGUCAGGAGGAGCCCCCACCCACCACCUCAGCGGGAUGUUGGAAGAACAGGGGAGCUUCUCUUCUCCUUUGUCCCUUUCCUAUUCUCAACAUGUUUUACAGCCUUCGUAAGAUUAGUGCAACGCGUAGUCCCUUACAGAGAAACGUGUGUGCACGGGUACACGUAACCCCAGGAGGCUUACCAACACAGGCACGCGACCUGACCCAUCUGCUUCAGCUUCUCUCUGCCCGUGGCUUCCUAACCUGGGCAGGCAUCUGAAUCACCUGGCAGGCUUGUGGAAGCACAGAUUGCUGGCACUUGUUCCUAGUGGUGGGAGGGGGCUGCAACGUCAUCUGUUGCUAAUCCGCUGGUCCAGGACCCACACUUUGAGACCAUCUACCCCAGCUGCAGCAGAGCUGGGCUGUGCCUGAGCACAGCGGGCUCCCUGACCCCUCAGCUCACACUCUGUCUCCUCCAGGAAGACUCCCCUUCCCUAUCUUGAAGGUGCAUUUGAAUUGUUAGUACCUCCUUUAGGUCCUUCCUGCUUGCUGCAGCUGGAAGUGAUCUUAUUCCUCAGGAUUUAGGUAGAACUGAGAGGAGACCCAGGAAAUUCUACUUUGUUACACUUACUUGCAUUCUUUUCUUUUUUUUUUUAAGAUUUUAUUUAUUUAUUCAUAGAGAGAGAGAGGCAGAGACACAGGCAGAGGGAGAAGCAAGCUCCAUGCAGGGAGCCCGACGUGGGACUCGAUCCCGGGUCUCCAGGAUCACACCCCGGGCUGCAAGCGGCGCUAAACCGCUGAGCCACCAGGGUUGCCCAAUUUUAUCUUUUCUACUAGAUUAUAAGCUAUUUAAAAAUGAAGCCUGUACUGGACUCUUAACAAAUGUUAAACGUGUGAACAAGUGACAAUUUGGUUAAAAUCACGAAUAUUGGUAAUAGCAAAACUGGAAAUACAAUAUCCAUAAAUAGGGGACUGAAUGAAUAAAAUUGUAUAUCGUGCCAAUUAUCAACACAUUAUAUCUCAGCUCUAAAUUCACACCUCUUUGCCUGAUCCAUGAAAAUGGAUCUGAGUCUUCUAUUUUUUGCAUACUCUCUGGCAUGAUGCUAACCAUUGUCAAUAGAGGGUGCUGUGAAAAAAACCUUUCCCCAGCACCCUGUAGGGAGGAUUUCCAGCAUGUCCCACCAGUGCAGCGUCGGACAGGUUCUCUGCCCCACAGCGAGCCAAAAGUGGGUCUAGAUCCAACAGUCUAGAUCUCAACUCUGGGGACAGAGUGGGCUCCUCGCUGUCAUAGCCCUGGAUAAGGUGAUUGUGGCUACUCUUUGUUUCUUACUAUUCUUGCAAUCUUUAUAAUCUCAUUUCUUUUGUAAAGAUGUUAUUUAUUUCAGAGAGAGCAAGAGAGAGUACGAGCAGUGUGGAGGUACAGGGGGAAGGAGAAGCAGGCUCCCCACUGAGCAGGGAGCCUGAUAUGAGACUUGAUCCCAUGACCUUGGGAUUAUGACCUGAGCCAAAGGCAGACACUUAACAGCUGAGGCACCCAGGUGACCCCAUUUCUCCUUACUGCCCAAUCCCUUACUCCAAUCCCUAGUUAUUGCUAAUAAUUCUUUAUAUUAAACUCUGUUCAAAUUA